rnacentral:rRNA from 1 species
CCUUGCGCACACCGCCCGUCGCUUCAUCGAAGUUGGUUCUUGGCGAGGUUGUGUCUCAUUGGCACUAUCGAACCUGGGGUCAGCAACGAGGGAG